UACGUAGGUGGCAAGCAUUGUCCGGAUUUACUGGGCGUAAAGAGCGCGCAGGCGGUCGUUCAAGUCGCGUGUGAAAGCCCCCGGCUCAACUGGGGAGGGUCACGCGAUACUGAUCGACUCGAAGGCAGGAGAGGGUAGUGGAAUUCCCGGUGUAGUGGUGAAAUGCGUAGAUAUCGGGAGGAACACCAGUGGCGAAGGCGACUACCUGGCCUGUUCUUGACGCUGAGGCGCGAAAAGCUAGGGGAGCAAACGGGG
rnacentral:rRNA from 1 species